UAUAAGUGAUGGCGACCGGCGCACGGGUGAGUAACACGUAUCCAACCUGCCGAUAACUCGGGGAUAGCCUUUCGAAAGAAAGAUUAAUACCCGAUGGUAUAAUAAAACCGCAUGGUUUAAUUAUUAAAGAAUUUCGGUUAUCGAUGGGGAUGCGUUCCAUUAGGCAGUUGGUGAGGUAACGGCUCACCAAACCUUCGAUGGAUAGGGGUUCUGAGAGGAAGGCCCCUCACAUUGGAACUGAGACACGGUCCAA
rnacentral:rRNA from 1 species